GUUUGAUCCUGGCUCAGAUUGAACGCUGGCGGUAUGCUUAACACAUGCAAGUCGAACGGUAACAGCGAGAGCUUGCUCUCGGCUGACGAGUGGCGGACGGGUGAGUAACGCGUAGGAAUUUGCCUGAUAGUGGGGGACAACAUGUGGAAACGCAUGCUAAUACCGCAUACGCCCUACGGGGGAAAGCGGAGGAUCUUCGGACUUCGUGCUAUCAGAUAAGCCUGCGUUAGAUUAGCUAGUUGGUAGGGUAAUGGCCUACCAAGGCGACGAUCUAUAGCUGGUUUGAGAGGAUGAUCAGCCACACUGGGACUGAGACACGGCCCAGACUCCUACGGGAGGCAGCAGUGGGGAAUAUUGGACAAUGGGGGCAACCCUGAUCCAGCAAUGCCGCGUGUGUGAAGAAGGCCUGCGGGUUGUAAAGCANUUUCANUUGGGAAGAAANGANNGUUGUUAAUACCAGCUNUUCUUGA
rnacentral:rRNA from 1 species